UAGUCCACGCCGUAAACGAUGAUCACUCGUUGUUGGCGAUACACAGUCGGUGACCAAGCGAAAGCGAUAAGUGAUCCACCUGGGGAGUACGUUCGCAAGAAUGAAACUCAAAGGAAUUGACGGGGGCCCGCACAAGCGGUGGAGCAUGUGGUUUAAUUCGAUGAUACGCGAGGAACCUUACCUGGGCUCAAAUGUAAGUUGACGUAUCGGGAAACCGGUAUUUCUUCGGACAAUUUACAAGGUGCUGCAUGGUUGUCGUCAGCUCGUGCCGUGAGGUGUCGGGUUAAGUCCCAUAACGAGCGCAACCCCUAUCAUUAGUUGCCAUCAGGUCAAGCUGGGGACUCUAGUGAAACUGCCUGCGCAAGUAGAGAGGAAGGUGGGGAUGACGUCAAAUCAGCACGGCCCUUACGUCCAGGGCUACACACGUGCUACAAUGGCAGGUACAGAGGGCAGCCACCACGCGAGUGGGAGCGAAUCUCGAAAGCCGGUCUCAGUUCGGAUCG
rnacentral:rRNA from 1 species